AUUUCAACCCUCAAGCCCGCUGCGCGCUUGCUGUUGGGGACCGGCUCACCCGCCUCGCGGCGGCGGCCGCCCCCGAAAUGAAUCGGCGGUCUCGUCGCAGCCUCCUUUGCGUAGUAACACACCACCUCGCAACCGGGAGCGCGGCGCGGCCACUGCCGUAAAACGCCCAACUUUCUCCAAGAGU